AAUGAAAGGAAGUAAACACCUCAAUUGCAGCAAGCCUGAAACACUGAGAAUCGUGGCCCUAAAGAAGAGGAUAAGAAAAAGCAAGUUAUUCUGGAGAGGCCCAUCUCAAGACAUAUUAUAUUUUUGAGGAGGAGUUUAGAGGAGAAUGAAUUGGACUGUGAGCCUUUCAUGAACUUCUCAAAAGAGCAGGAACAUGAGGCAAAAUGGUGAGGAAAACCCACAAUUCAAACUACCACAACGUGGGAAAGUUCUUAGAAUGACUGGAUCAAAAUCAUUGCCGUAUUGUCUCCAUGCGGUCACCAAUCUGUCAGCGGUGUGUAAGCGUGCAUGCUUUUUAACACGUCACCAAUCUAUGUCAGCGGUGUGUAAGCGUGCAUGCUUUUUAACACAUGGUCACCAACCUACGUCAGCGGUGUGUAAGCGUGCAUGCUUUUUAACACGUCACCAAUCUACGUCAGCGGUGUGUAAGCGUGCAUGCUUUUUAACACGUCACCAACCUACGUCAGCGGUGUGUAAGCGUGCAUGCUUUUUAACACGUCACCAAUCUACGUCAGCGGUGUGUAAGCGUGCAUGCUUUUUAACACGUCACCAAUCUACAUCAGCGGUGUGUAAGCGUGCAUGCUUUUUAACACGUGGUCACCAAUCUAUGUCAGAGGUGUGUAAGCGUGCAUGCUUUUUAACACGUGGUCACCAAUCUACGUCAGCGGUGUGUAAGCGUGCAUGCUUUUUAACACGUGGUCACCAAUCUACGUCAGCGGUGUGUAAGCGUGCAUGCUUUUUAACACGUGGUCACCAAUCUACGUCAGCGGUGUGUAAGCGUGCAUGCUUUUUAACACGUGGUCACCAAUCUACGUCAGCGGUGUGUAAGCGUGCAUGCUUUUUAACACGUCACCAAUCUACGUCAGCGGUGUGUAAGCGUGCAUGCUUUUUAACACGUCACCAACCUACGUCAGCGGUGUGUAAGCGUGCAUGCUUUUUAACACGUCACCAAUCUACGUCAGCGGUGUGUAAGCGUGCAUGCUUUUUAACACGUCACCAAUCUACGUCAGCGGUGUGUAAGCGUGCAUGCUUUUUAACACGUGUUCACCAAUCUACGUCAGCGGUGUGUAAGCGUGCAUGCUUUUUAACACGUGGUCACCAACCUACGUCAGCGGUGUGUAAGCGUGCAUGCUUUUUAACACGUGUUCACCAAUCUACAUCAGCGGUGUGUAAGCGUGCAUGCUUUUUAACACGUGGUCACCAAUCUACGUCAGCGGUGUGUAAGCAUGCAUGCUUUUUAACACGUGUUCACCAAUCUAUGUCAGCGGUGUGUAAGCGUGCAUGCUUUUUAACACGUGGUCACCAAUCUAUGUCAGCAGUGUGUAAGCGUGCAUGCUUUUUAACACGUGGUCACCAAUCUAUGUCAGCGGUGUGUAAGCGUGCAUGCUUUUUAACACGUCACCAAUCUACGUCAGCGGUGUGUAAGCGUGCAUGCUUUUUAACACAUGGUGUUAUUCAUUUAUUAAAAGUUUUUGAGUGACUAGCAGGAACCAAAUUUUGUUCUAAGCCCAGGGAUUAAAGUCUCCGCCCUUCUA
rnacentral:lncRNA from 1 species